CAAAAAAUUAUGUAAUGUGCAUCGACGUAAUCAGCACGAUUUACUAAAAAACACGAUGUAACCGAAAAUUUGUUAUGCAAAAUAACGUUGAUUCAAUGUGAUAUUACAUCACUCUUUGAAUUACACAGAAUUAAAAUCAUCAUUUCCCUUUACGUAUAACUUGUGUAAUAUUAAAUACCGAAACAUAUUAAAAUUACAUUCAAAUAUAUGCAACCCAUCGGUUCUAAAUGUAUUGUGUUAUAUCACACAGAUUGGAUGUAAUUUCACAUUCAUUAAAAUUGUAAUUUUCAAUCUCGCAACACUGCCCAGACUGACGUGCUGCGCAUCAGAUAUUUUCUGGCGGUGACGCCAUGUUUGUUUCGAGCUCUUGUUUGAGCGAAAGGUUCCGGUUUGUUUCGCUGUCGAUUGAAAAUUAGGAAUCACACCCACUCUGGCUCGUCGAAUGCACUAACCGCUACAAUUCCGCCUCGAAGUGCAACUCGGCGCCAUCCCAUUCCGGCUCAUAUUUUUGUGCCCGUCGCUCGUCUACCAACGGCCGAGUAAACGGCCUAACGGCUUACCCGUUCCUUCUAUUCGACUCCAGCAUCAACAAUGGCAACUAUGUACAUUUACGCCAAAACCAAAUUACUGGCCCGUGCCCUAUCUCAGCGCUCAGGUUCGCUCCCUACUGUCCAAGCUCGAGCUCAUGAAACCCAACUCGUUCUCGGUGUUCGUCCUCAAAAUGUGCGGACUGGACCGAGCGGAACCGCUUCAUCCGGGGCUAUCUGCUACAGGGAGCCGACGAAGCGUUUCGCCAACCUAAAUAAGUUGCGCUGAUUCGGUCCGAUGAUGCAGCUGGCGCAGAUUGCCAAACAGCUGCGAAUCAACGUUAUCAAAUUGUAGCCGGCUCAUUUGCAGGGGAUUUAGCGAAUCCUGUUGCUGGAGAAGACCCCGAGGAAGAUGCUGAAAAUCAUAUCCGGACCGGUGCGGGACGUUGCGAGCGCUUAAAGAAUAAUCGGCUUCGAAGCACCUCCGAACGCGAAGGGAAUCCAGCAAGACAUGGGUCUGCGGAACGAUACUGGAUUCCUGAUGUUCUUCAAUAUGUAUCGCUGUUGUAUGCGACCUACCGGCUGAUGCAAUGAGAAAAUAUAUAGAAUCAUAUCUUGAAUCGAAAAUUCUU